AUGAACGCUGGCGGCGUGCCUAAUACAUGCAAGUCGAGCGAACGGACGAGAAGCUUGCUUCUCUGAUGUUAGCGGCGGACGGGUGAGUAACACGUGGAUAACCUACCUAUAAGACUGGGAUAACUUCGGGAAACCGGAGCUAAUACCGGAUAAUAUUUUGAACCGCAUGGUUCAAAAGUGAAAGACGGUCUUGCUGUCACUUAUAGAUGGAUCCGCGCUGCAUUAGCUAGUUGGUAAGGUAACGGCUUACCAAGGCAACGAUGGAUAGCCGACCUGAGAGGGGAACCGGCGAAAUGGGGACUGAGGUAGGGGCCAGACGCCGACGGGAGGCAGCAGUGGGGAAUAUUGCACAAUGGGCGGAAGCCAGAUGAAGCAACGUCGAGUUCGGGAUGACGGCCUUCGGGUGAGAAACCGAGUUAGCCUGGGAUGAAGCGUGAGUGACGGUAAUGGGUAAAGAAGCAACGGCUAACUACGUG
rnacentral:rRNA from 1 species